GGUGGAUCCUGGCUCCACCUCUACCAGACCUCAUUAAAGGGUUGGCAGUGAGAGGCAAAGUUAUCUUUCUGGAGAUCUCUGAAUGCCUGAGAGCUUCUGAAGUUUUAGUCCUGUUUCUUGAAGUUGGCCCAGCAACAUGAAAAAACAAUGAAGAGUAACAUUAGAAGAUGUUAUGUAACUCAAUUCCAAUACUGACUGAAAAUGUAUAAAGGAAUUCUAAGGAGGGUUAAUUCAAAACACUGGAAGAAUAUUAAUGGUUACCAUAUUUCAAUGUGUAAUAAGGAAGAAUGUCAUAUGGGAUGCACCAAAUGAUAGCAUCACUGCCUGGGGUGAACUACUCUCUCUGCUCUGCAAGACUCUUACAACAGCUUGGGUUAAGUUAGAAAUGUGUUAAAAGUGGUCUCAUGCUACUCAUACUUUCAUUUUUUCCUUUAAAUUGUGGCUAGAAUAUUCCUCACAAUCCUGGGAUUAAUUCAUUCAUCAUUCUGUAAGCAGGAAGAAAGAAUGUGAAAAAGCUUUACGCUUCCACAUGCAUAUAUUCUCUUGUAGUAGCUUUCAGUUUCAUACUAACUCACCAGCUGGAAUGAAACAUUAGAACAAACUGUGGUCUCACAGGAGCCUUCAGCGUUCUGAGACAAUGAACAGUGUUGUAUAAAUGGAUGGAUAUUCUUUAGUCAGUUUGUAUCAGUUUUCACUACAGCAUUAUUUCUGGUCUAGUCUUCCUCAAGGUGGAGUCCAUUAAUAUAUUUUGUCUAGUUAUUGCUUGGAUUUAUUUUUGUUUUUGUAUCUUUGUGCCAUAUUGAUGCAAGUUACAGCAUACAUAUUCCUGAAAGGAAUACAAGCGAAAUGAACUAACAUAAGUUGCCCAUCUUGCUGCUGGCUUGCCAAUAUCAGCCAUUCUGCUUGAGAAUUUCCCGCUGUAUUAGGGUAAUGUCAAUCUGAUGAAUAUGUUAAUAUAAUAAUCCUUAUUUUUCUAUUCUAGUACUAUAUGUUGUGCAGCCAAUGCACUCUUCUGCUGCAAACAGAAACGCUUCUCGAUUCCUCACUCUAUUGUCUAAUCCUAUUUGCCUUAACUUCCCUAAAUUUGUAUUGGUUUCUAAAACACCUUUAUUCAGUUUAGUAUUGAUUACAUUUGUAAGUUAGGAAGGUUUACAGUGAAUGGUGGCAUCUGUUGUUGCUCUCUGGCUUUCUUUUCAUACAGUUACAAUUUUUUUUUUAUAGGAGAAGACCAGAAAUUAGAACAAGAAGCCAGAGUGGCUUCUCAGGUAAA